rnacentral:rRNA from 1 species
AACGCGAAGAACCUUACCAGCUUUUGACAUGCCUCGGACGGUUACCAGAGAUGGUUUCCUCUCUUCGGAGCCGGGGACACAGGUGCUGCAUGGCUGUCGUCAGCUCGUGUCGUGAGAUGUUGGGUUAAGUCCCGCAACGAGCGCAACCCUCGCCCUUAGUUGCCAUCAUUCAGUUGGGCACUCUAGGGGGACUGCCGGUGAUAAGCCGCGAGGAAGGUGGGGAUGACGUCAAGUCCUCAUGGCCCUUACAGGCUGGGCUACACACGUGCUACAAUGGCGGUGACAAUGGGAUGCAAAGGGGCGACCCCUAGCAAAUCUCAAAAAGCCGUCUCAGUUCAGAUUGUACUCUGCAACUCGAGUACAUGAAGUUGGAAUCGCUAGUAAUCGUAGAUCAGAACGCUACGGUGAAUACGUUCCCGGGCCUUGUACACACCGGAGUA